CCAGGAUCCAUUUCGAUCAACUGUGAGCUUGAGUUCAUUCGGCUCAAUGAACUGUGAACUUGAGUUCAUUCGACUCUUUUUUACUAAGGGAAUGCUUUGAACAGGAGGUAGCUUCCUGGCCAUACCAAUACAUAUGCCCACAUACAAAUAACUCAAAAGUUAUCCCCAUAUACUAAUAAGGAAGGGUCUUGCAGUCCACCAACCUUGAGAGGUUGAUUGCCUUUUAGUAUAUGCAGGAUUGCUAAAGGUCGACAGUGAGAUUGAAAAUUAUUGGAGUGUAAAAACCUUAUAUCAUGGUCUGUGGGCAAUAGAAAUAAUUUCUCGGGUUGGGUACAAAGCGCUUAUGGCGUUUGUGAAUAUAGUAGAUCCUGUACUAAAGACUACAGCAAUAAACUGCAUCAACAACUGUACCAGCCGUCACAGAAUAUUGUUGUUGCAAACAAACACACGUCUGUCAAAUCAAGAAAUAGGUUGGGGAUUAGGCAGUUCAUGAAAGCUAGAUGACCUACUAUUUGGGGGGAAAAUCUGUGGGUUGCUGCGAACAAUCCUAAUUGUUAUUUUGCGAUUUUGAAAUUUAUACAGGAAGAAGUCCAGAUAUUCAUCGCAACGGAUUUGGGUAUGACGUGGUGAUCUGAUAUCAGUUUGGUUACAGUCUUAGGUCUUUUGUAGUACAAUAUAAAGGAAAUAUUUUCACCACAUAAUGAAAUAUUUUCACCACAUAAUCCAAUUAUGUGCUUUGGCAAAC